rnacentral:rRNA from 1 species
GCUUAACACAUGCAAGUCGAACGGGCGUAGCAAUACGUCAGUGGCGCACGGGUGAGUAACGCGUGGGCAACCUACCUGGUGGUACGGAAUAACCGCGGGAAACUGCGGCUAAUACCGUAUGCCCCCUACGGGGGAAAGAUUUAUCGCCAUCAGAUGGGCCCGCGUAGGAUUAGCUAGUUGGUGAGGUAACGGCUCACCAAGGCGACGAUCCUUAGCUGGUCUGAGAGGAUGAUCAGCCACACUGGGACUGAGACACGGCCCAGACUCCUACGGGAGGCAGCAGUGGGGAAUAUUGGACAAUGGGCGCAAGCCUGAUCCAGCCAUGCCGCGUGAGUGAUGAAGGCCUUCGGGUUGUAAAGCUCUUUUGGCGGGGACGAUGAUGACGGUACCCGCAGAAUAAGCCCCGGCUAACUUCGUGCCAGCAGCCGCGGUAAUAC